rnacentral:misc_RNA from 1 species
AACUUUUGGCAAUGGAUCUCUUGGCUCUCGCAUCGAUGAAGAACGCAGCAAAAUGCGAUAAGUAAUGUGAAUUGCAGAAUUCAGUGAAUCAUUGAAUCUUUGAAUGCACCUUGCACUCCUUGGUAUUCCGAGGAGUAUGCCUGUUUGAGUAAUAUAUCAACCUCUCAAGCCUUUGCUUGUGGAGUGUAUGGAUGUGGGAGGGAUCAUUUUGGUGGCCUGUUUAUGAGGUCAGCUCCCCUGAAAUGCAUUGGCAGAAUGAUUUGCUGACUGUUUAUUGGUGUGAUAACUAUCUACACUGCUGACAUGAAGCAAGUUCAGCUUAUAAUGGUCCAUUGACUUGGACAACAUAUCUAUUAAUGUGACCUCAAAUCAGGUAGGACUACCCGCUGAACUUAAGCAUAUCAAUAAGCGGAGGCU